UGACAGAGGUCAAACGUUUUCUGUAAGUCUUCACAAGGUUUUCACACACUGUUGCUGGUAUUUUGGCCCAUUCCUCCAUGCAGAUCUCCUCUAGAGCAGUGAUGUUUUGGGGCUGUUGCUGGGCAACACAGACUUUUUUUUCUCAUUUUGUCUGUCAUAGUUGAAGUGUACCUAUGAUGAAAAUUACAGGCCUCUCUCAUCUUUUUAAGUGGGAGAACUUGCACAAUUGGUGGCUGACUAAAUAUUUUUUCCCCCCACUGUAUUUACUUAACAAAUAAGGAAUACUCAAUGUGCACUUAUGAAUCAUAACAAUUUUAAUAUAAUACAUAAUAUAUAAUAAUCAAACAUCAAACAUACAACUGAUGUCUCUCCUGAGUUCUGCACCCCACCUAAGGGCACAGCUGAUUUUAUACUUAAUAUAGAUCGCUUGUGCAACGUAUAGUGGCAUAGUUUUUAGACACAUAGCAACAGUAUCUUAUUAUAAGGCCUGCAGCAAAACAUAUGAAUCUUUUUAAAUAUAUUUUUAUUUCACCUUUAUUUAACCAGGUAGGCUAGUUGAGAACAAGUUCUCAUUUACAACUGUGACAUGGCCAAGGUAAAGCAGAGCAGUGUGAACAGACAACAACACAGAGUUACACAUGCAGUAAACAAUAAACAAGUCAAUAACCCAGUAGAAAAAAAAAAUCUAUAUACAUUGUGUGCAAAAGGCAUGAGGAGGUAGGCAUAAAAUAGGCCAUAGGAGCGAAUAAUUACAAUUUAGCAGAUUAACACUGGAGUGAUAAAUGAUCAGAUGGUCAUGUGCAAGUAGAGAUACUGGUGUGCAAAAGAGCAGAAAAGUAAAUAAAUAAAAACAGUAUGGGGCUGAGGUAGGUAAAUUGGGUGGGCUAUUAACAGAUGUACAGCUGCAGCGAUCGGUUAGCUGCUCAGAUAGCAGAUGUUUAAAGUUGGUGAGGGAAAUAAAAGUCUCCAACUUCAGCGAUUUUUGCAAUUCGUUCCAGUCACAGGCAGCAGAGAACUGGAAGGAAAGGAGGCCAAAUGAGGUCCCCUUAAGGUCCCCUAAAUCAAUAAUGAGAGGGGCUUUGGGACCCACCCCCUACAAAGUCAGGAACCAAUAUACACAGUCAGUUAGGAAAGCAAAGGCUAGCUUUUUCAAACAGAAAUUUGCAUCCUGUAGCACCAAUUCCAAAAUGUUUUGGGACACUGUAAAAUCCAUGGAGAAUAAGAGCACCUCCUCCCAGCUGCCCACUGCACUGAGGCUAGGAAACACUGUCACCACCGAUAAAUCUACGAUAAUCGAGAAUUACAAUAACCAUUUUUCUACUGCUGGCCAUGCUUUCCACCUGGCCACACAUACCCCGGGUCAACAGCCGUGCACCCCCCACAGCAACUUGCCCAAGCCUCCCCAUUUCUCCUUCACCCAAAUCCAGAUAGGUGUUCCGAUGUUCUGAAAGAGCUGCAAAAUCUGGACUCCUAAAAAUCAGCCGGGCUAGACAAUCUGGACCCUCUCUUUCUAAAAUGUUCCACCAUAAUUGUUGCAACCCCUGUCACUAGCCUGUUCAACCUCUCUUUCAUAUUGUCUGAGAUCCCCAAAGAUUGGAAAGCUGCGCUGUCAUCCCCCUCUUCAAAGGGGGAUGACCCUGCCUUUCUAAGGUCUUAGAAAGCCAAGUUAACAAACAGAUCACCGACCAUUUCGAAUCCCACCGUACCUUCUCUGCUAUGCAAUCUGGUUUCCGAGUUGGUCAUGGGUGCACCUCAGCCAUGCUCAAGGUCCUAAACAAUAACAUAACUGCCAUCGAUAAGAGACAAUACUGUGCAGCUGUAUUCAUCGACCUUGUCAAGGCUUUCGACUCUGUCAAUCACAUUCUUAUUGGCAGACUCAACAGCCUUGGUUUCUCAAAUUCUCUGAUCCACCUCAACGCAGACGACACCAUUCUGUAUACAUCUGUCCCUUCUUUGGACACUGCAUUAACAAACCUCCAAACAAGCUUCAAUGCCAUACAACACUCCUUCCGUGGCCUCCAACUGCUCUUAUAUGCUAGUAAAACUAAAUACAUGCUCUUCAACCGAUUGCUACCCACCCGCCCGACUAGCAUCAAUACUCUGGAUGGUUCUGACUUAGAAUAUGUGGACAACUACAAAUACCUAGGAGUCUGGUCAAGGUCCUUCUGAUCCUUGACUUCGGCGAUGUCAUUUACAAAAUAUCCUGCAACAAUCUACGCAGCAAAUUGGAUGUAGUCUAUCUCAGUACCAUCUGUUUUGUCACCAAAGCCCCAUAUACAUUCCCACCACUGCGACAUGUAUGCUCUCAUUGGCUGGCCCUCGCUACAUAUUCGUCGACCAAACCCACUGGCUCCAGAUCAUCUAUAAGUCUCUGCUAGGUAAAGCCCCACCUUAUCUCAGCUCACUUUGUCACCAAAGCAACACCCACCCGUAUCACGCGCUCCAGCAGGUAUAUUUCACUGGUCAUCCCCAAAGCCAACACCUCCUUUGGCCGCCUAUCCAUCCAGUUCUCUGCUGCCAAUGACUGGAACGAAUUGCAAAAAUCACUGAAGCUGGAGACUUAU
ensembl:lncRNA